GCAGAUAUAGCUCAGUGGUAGUGUGCAUGCUUAGUGUGCAUGAGGUCCUGGGUUCAAUCCCCAGUACUUCCA
rnacentral:tRNA from 1 species